ensembl:lncRNA novel transcript
GGGCAGAGGGUCAUGUAGUGGAAUAGAGCUGUACCUGGCUUCAGGCGAGACUUGGAGCUCAAAACUUUCAGUAGGACAGCCAGGCGCGGUGGCUGAUGCCUGUAAUCCCAGCACUUUGGGAGGCCGAGGUGGGCGGAUCACGAGGUCAGGAGAUCAAGACCAUCCUGGCUAACACGCAACUCCAAAAUGGAAGUACUAUUGUUAUCUCCGUUUACAAAUUAGGAAACUGAGGCACAGAUAUGCUCUUGGGUACUUGUCAGCAGCAGUUGUUCUACAAGCUAAAUAUCUGGAUAUCUUAAAUCUCAGAUGAGCGUCUUAGCCUCUGGAUUACUGCUCAAUGAGGAAAGCUAUGAAAUGCAUGGAUAACUUGCUAAUCAGUAUUUGCCAUAUGUGCUAGCAGCAUCAGCAUCAGUUGGGAGAUUAUGGUGGCCUCCAUGUCAGACCUCCUAAAUCGGAAUAUCAGAGAAGGUGGCCCAGGUUACCAUGCUUCAUCUGCCAAUGCAUUGAAAACUUGGAAUGUAAAUUAAUUCAACCAUUGUGGAAGAUGGUGUAGUGAUUCCUCAAAGACCUAGAAGCAGAAAUAUCAUUUGAUCCAGAAAUCCCAUUACUGUGUAUACACCCAAAGGAAUAUAAACCAUUCUAUUACAAA